rnacentral:misc_RNA from 1 species
AAAUUUAUUUUAAGGUGUAUCCAAAUUGAAAAUAUAUGGAAAAGCUGCCAGCCACGAUGAAUAUUAAGAGGGCACCAUUAGGUUGAGAAAUGAUCCAUUUGCAUGGAAAGGUGGCAACUAAGCACAUACUACUCAAGUCAAAGAAGCAUAGAUGCAAGAUACUUCUACAAGUUCUUGAUAGGCAGAUUAUUUUUAGAGCUAGUAAGAAACUCAAAGUACAAAGCACCCAGUUAUAACCCUGCCAAAUCAAGGUUCUCACAUAGAAAUCUAAAUUGAUAAUAAACUUUUUCACAUGAUAAAGCUGCUCUUGAAACUCAAAACUACAUAUUUCUAAUCAAAACCCUAAGACUGUUACCACUGCACCAAAUAAUGGCCCCUUAUUAGCAAUUUUCCAAGUGCAACCUCCAAAUUGCUCUUUUAAUUAUCUACUUGAUAUGGCAAUGGCUAGUUAUUGAACAGUUCCACAAUGGUUUCCUUUUCAGACCAAUUCAGUUACACCAUUUCCAAAUCUGUUAUUUAAAACUAUGCAAUCACUAUAACUGGCAUUCUUAUGCCAUCAGCCAAUAUCAGAUAACCACAUAUCAUAAAAAGCAAACUUCAGAU